rnacentral:rRNA from 1 species
GAUGAACGCUGGCGGCGUGCCUAAUACAUGCCAGUCGAGCGAACAGAUGAGGAGCUUGCUCCUCUGACGUUAGCGGCGGACGGGUGAGUAACACGUGGAUAACCUACCUAUAAGACUGGGAUAACUUCGGGAAACCGGAGCUAAUACCGGAUAAUAUAUUGAACCGCAUGGUUCAAUAGUGAAAGACGGUUUUGCUGUCACUUAUAGAUGGAUCCGCGCCGCAUUAGCUAGUUGGUAAGGUAACGGCUUACCAAGGCAACGAUGCGUAGCCGACCUGAGAGGGUGAUCGGCCAAACUGGAACUGAGACACGGUCCAGACUCCUACGGGAGGCAGCAGUAGGGAAUCUUCCGCAAUGGGCGAAAGCCUGACGGAGCAACGCCGCGUGAGUGAUGAAGGUCUUCGGAUCGUAAAACUCUGUUAUUAGGGAAGAACAAAUGUGUAAGUAACUAUGCACGUCUUGACGGUACCUAAUCAGAAAGCCACGGCUAACUACGUG